UGACACAACCUCAAAAGAUAAAGAAAUGCAAAGUCUGAUCAUGUGCUAUAGCUCGCUUGUGGUUGUUUAAAGACUCCAACCUGACCUGAAUGGCAGGUAAAGAAACCCAACCCCUGGGAGCAAAGUUAUGUGACCACCCCACUCUCUCCUCUUCAAAUUCCUGACACAGAGACUCUAAAGAGCACCUCAGCAUGGCAGUCAGGGAUUGAGAAGCCAAGUCCUGAUGUCUGCAGUGCCCAGCUCUGAAGAGGUUUCCUGGCUCAUGGGGAUGGCCUCUUGAGGUGGGAACUGUCCAGACUCUCUGUCAGCAGCAACUGCCACAGAUCCUGGCACCCGUCAGUGGAUGGACUCGUCAUAGUUUUUGGUUUUCUUCCAUCACAAGGAUUGUAACCAGGAUUGACCCCUUGAGCUGAGUAAGACGCCUCCUCGGGCUUUUUCUCUUGGUGUGGGAGGUGAGACACCCUGAAGAGGGAGGAAUACUUUUCACAAUAGAAGAGU
rnacentral:lncRNA from 1 species